UAGGGAAUAUUAGUAAUGGGCGAAAGCCUGAACUAGCAACGCCGCGUGUGCGAAGAAGGCCUUCGGGUUGUAAAGCACUUUUUGAGAGGAUGAGGAAGGACGGUACUCUCAGAAUAAGUCUCGGCUAACUACGUGCCAGCAGCCGCGGUAACACGUAGGAGGCGAACGUUAUCCGGAUUUACUGGGCGUAAAGCGCGUGUAGGUGGUUUGGUAAGUAGGGCGUGAAAGCUCCUGGCUCAACUGGGAGAGGCCGUUCUAAACUGCCGAACUAGAGGAUGGUAGAGGGAGGUGGAAUUCCGGGUGUAGCGGUGGAAUGCGCAGAUAUCCGGAGGAACACCAGUGGCGAAAGCGGCCUCCUGGACCAUUCCUGACACUCAGACGCGAAAGCUAGGGU
rnacentral:rRNA from 1 species